AACGAACGCUGGCGGAAUGCCUAACACAUGCAAGUCGAACGAGACCUUCGGGUCUAGUGGCGCACGGGUGCGUAACGCGUGGGAACCUGCCCUUAGGUUCGGAAUAACUCCCCGAAAGGGGUGCUAAUACCGGAUAAUGUCUUCGGACCAAAGAUUUAUCGCCUUUGGAUGGGCCCGCGUUGGAUUAGCUAGUUGGUAGGGUAAAAGCCUACCAAGGCGACGAUCCAUAGCUGGUCUGAGAGGAUGAUCAGCCACACUGGGACUGAGACACGGCCCAGACUCCUACGGGAGGCAGCAGUGGGGAAUAUUGGACAAUGGGCGAAAGCCUGAUCCAGCAAUGCCGCGUGAGUGAUGAAGGCCUUAGGGUUGUAAAGCUCUUUUACCCGGGAUGAUAAUGACAGUACCGGGAGAAUAAGCUCCGGCUAACUCCGUG
rnacentral:rRNA from 1 species